rnacentral:SRP_RNA from 1 species
GCCGGGCGUGGUGGCUCACACCUGUAAUCCCAGCACUUUGGGAGGCAGAGGCAGGUGGAUCACCUGAGGUCAGGAGUUCAAGACCAGCCUGGCCAACAUGGUGAAACCCUGUCUCUA